GACAGAGGGGGCAAGCGUUGUUCGGAAUUACUGGGCGUAAAGGGCGCGUAGGCGGCCGCCUAAGUCAGACGUGAAAUCCCCGGGCUCAACCCGGGAACUGCGUCCGAGACUGAAAGGCUCGAAUCCGGGAGAGGGAUGUGGAAUUCCAGGUGUAGCGGUGAAAUGCGUAGAGAUCGGGAGGAACAUCUGUGGCGAAGGCGGCCACCUGGACCAGCACUGACACUGAGGCACGAAAGCGUGGGGAGCAAACAGG
rnacentral:rRNA from 1 species